GCGGGAGUAGCUUAGUGGUAAAGCGUCAGCCUUCCAAGCUGGGGAUGCGAGUUCGAUUCUCGUCUCCCGCUCCA
rnacentral:tRNA from 2 species